rnacentral:rRNA from 1 species
CCUACGGGAGGCAGCAGUGGGGAAUAUUGGACAAUGGGCGAAAGCCUGAUCCAGCCAUGCCGCGUGUGUGAAGAAGGCCUUCGGGUUGUAAAGCACUUUCAGUGGGGAAGAAAGCCUUGGGGCUAAUACCCUCGAGGAAGGACAUCACCCACAGAAGAAGCACCGGCUAACUCCGUGCCAGCAGCCGCGGUAAUACGGAGGGUGCGAGCGUUAAUCGGAAUUACUGGGCGUAAAGCGCGCGUAGGCGGUCUGAUAAGCCGGUUGUGAAAGCCCCGGGCUCAACCUGGGAACGGCAUCCGGAACUGUCAGGCUAGAGUGCAGGAGAGGAAGGUAGAAUUCCCGGUGUUGCGGUGAAAUGCGUAGAGAUCGGGAGGAAUACCAGUGGCGAAGGCGGCCUUCUGGACUGACACUGACGCUGAGGUGCGAAAGCGUGGGUAGCAAACAGGAUUAGAUACCCCAGUAGUC